rnacentral:rRNA from 1 species
AGACGGAGGGCGCAAGCGUUGUUCGGAAUUACUGGGCGUAAAGCGCGGGCAGGUGGUCUGUUAAGUCGUUUGUGAAAAUCCGGGGCUCAACCCCGCGAAAUGCAAGCGAUACUGGCAGACUGGAGAUCGGUAGAGGCUAGCGGAAUUCCUGGUGUAGCGGUGGAAUGCGUAGAUAUCAGGAAGAACACCUGUGGCGAAGGCGGCUAGCUGGGCCGAGUCUGACACUCAUCCGCGAAAGCGUGGGGAGCAAACAGGAUUAGAAACCCGGGUAGUCC